GGUGCCAGAUAAUAACUUUUGGUCAGGAAUAUAUGCAUCAUCUUGUUUUCUUUUCUUUGAUAUGUGAGAAACCUUCAUUACUCUAUGAAACCAUUGUAAUUUAUGGAUGGAUUUAAAUAAAUUUUUGCACUGACAAUUUUAUGCCUGUUCAGAGCAAUGGGGAAUGUUUCAGAUCGCAUUGGUCGUCCUACAGACAACAGUCAGAUUGGCAUAAUUGAUCCAGAUUGCAGACUAAUUGGACUCCAUUUAUAUGAUGGAUUGUUCAAGGUCAUUCCUUUUGAUAAUAAAGGGCAGCUUAAAGAAGCAUUUAACAUUAGGCUUGAGGAACUUCAAGUUUCUGUAUGGUUGUUCAAAACCUACAAUUGUGGUCCCCCCCACCCCCCCCCUCCCCCUCCCCCCGAAAAAAAAUGUACUCAAAUUUGGAAUAUUUGAGUACAUAA